rnacentral:lncRNA from 12 species
AUGAUUAACCUGGUUAGAAAACAAGAACCAUCCCCAGCACAGCCGGGAAUACGGGGCGGGGCGGCGGGCGGGGGAGGCCCGAGGGAAAAGCGGAGGAACAGACCAACAGACGCGGAGGUUGGGGCGCGGCAGAGCCGGGGAGGCGUCGGGGGGGCCGGGGCGCCCGAGGCCAGGCUGCACCCCAAGCUGCUGACACUGCCCACCCGCAGGCUGCUCGGGGGCGGCCUCCUCCUCGUUCCCACCCAACUGCCAGGCUGUGGAGGAGACCCGGCCCGGAGACUCCGGCCUGCGCGUGGCCCCGCGACCCGGGGCAGGACCCCCAGCGCCCCCAGCCCGACGCCCCCGGGCUGCGAGCAGCAGGGCCCACUUGGCCGUUUGCCGGGAGGAAGAGCGGCCGAGGCUAGAAAGGCGCUCAGGCUGCCCCAGGCCCACCGACCGCGAGCAGGGCCGCCGCCCGAAGCCCUGCCCCGCAGCCCCGACCCCCACGACCCGAGGGCGGCCAGGGCAGGGCCGACCUCCGCCCCGACCUCGGGGAGCCACAGGGGCCGCGUCGGGGCCUCCGGCGCGGACUCGAGCUCCCGGAGCACCCCCGCAGGCGCUUCUGCGAGCGCACACACCUCCCACGGGCGCCGACGCGUGUCCAGCGCCGCAGGCCACCCCGGACCCCCGAAGCGGGAUGCCCCGGGCCUCAGACCCUCACUCGGGGGCGGCUCCAAGGCACAGCGACUGCCCUCGAGGAGCAAGGGGCCAGGAUCCCGUAGCCACGCGACACAGGAGCAAGAAACACGGGUCCUCCACCCCAAGGCAAGCCAGGCAGGCGCCCUGGGGGGAGCGAGCAGGUGCGGGCCCAGGCGCCCCGAGCAGCCGGGGCCCAGUGCGCGUCGGUCCCGCUGUCGGACUAGGCUGUGCGGGGACGGGGCAGCCCCAGGGUCACCCCCAGGGUUCACGAGGGGGCAGGGUGGGGCGGCCCAGGGUCACCAGGGGCAGGGGGCAGGGCGGCCCAGGGUCACCAGGGGCAGGAGGCGGGGCAGCCCCAGGGUCACGAGGGGGCAGGGGGCGGGGCAGCCCCAGGGUCACGAGGGGGCAGGGGGCGGGGCAGCCCCAGGGUCACGAGGGGCCAGGGAGCAGGGCUGCCCAGGGUCGCCAGGGGCAGGGGGCGGGGCAGCUCCAAGGUGA